AGGACAAGGACACUCUGAAACAUCGUUUCACCGAACUCAACAACCUCACAAAGAAAAUUCUAGAUGUGACCAAGGAUAUCCUCGAAUUAAAAGAGCUUCGCACAAAAUAUAAUACAUUGGCAACUACUACAAUGACCAUGGACAUGACCGAUAUCCCCAAAGCAGUUUACUUGACCAUCCAAGUCAUUAUGAAUUGUGCCUCACUGAUCGCUGACUUCAUACACUCGGGUCACGAGCACAUAAGCCCGAUGACAGGGGUUAAGGAUCUUGGCGACGAGUUUAAGAAAAUACAUGAGCUGAUGAUGCAAUUAGACUCGUGCCAUGAACACAUAGGUA